GCUAAUAUUAGAAUUUUUCAAGCAUUUUAAGUCUUCUACGACUCCCCCCAAAAUCACAUUCAUCAAAUCAACUUCCCUUUGCAAACUAGGGCAACUCCAAUCCUAAAAUUUCUUCCAUCCCCAUCUCCUAACAUCAUCAGAUUGCAGUCAAAUUCCCUCAUCGUCGGGCAUCGUUGUUUCUGUUGUCGCCAUAUCGGAACUCGUCACCUAGAUACCGGAAUCGAGUGCUAGCGGCGAUUGGUACCAACGAAUGGUUCCGUUGAUGCUAAUUGGCGGAUAUUAGUCGGGUUCAGCAGAUAUGUGUCUGAAAGUGCAUUAACUGCAUAAUUUAUAAUCUCAUGGUGAUCCCUCCGUUACAAGGUCAGGGAAUCUGGAGAAUGAUUCUUCAAAGGAUCCUAAGAUUGCUUACAAAUAUAGGUUGUGGACUCUUUCAUCUCAAUAUAUCCCUAAGUUGGAUCUGCAUUACUCACGCACACGAAGAUUGCGAGUAUAAGCGGCGUUUGGUGAUUAGCAUUCUUCUCAAGAGUCGAUUGUAAGUAUUCUUUUCCUGUAACUUGUAAUCGACUUCUUCUUUGUCAGAUAGGAUGUUGGGCUAGCAUUCUUCUCAAGAGUCGAUUUUAUUUUUACUAUCAUUGAGCAAUAUAUGAAAGCUUUGUUUGGUAGACCUACCAACUGAAGGAACAUAUGAUCUCCUCUAAAGAUGAAGUUAUUAAAAUCAAAUAUAGUGGGUUGAGAAGGCUUAUGCUGGAGGAUGUUACGUUUAGUUAAUGUUGUGGGAUGUUGAGAGCUACGCGGGUUCCAGGUAAGGAUCGGGUUCAGAUGAUGAUAGCGGAGUCUUAAUGAGAGACAUGAUGGAGUGGACACAUGUUGUAUGUGAUGGUGGGAUUGCAUGCCUAGGAUCGAACACUUCAUAUGAUAACAAAGAAGAUGAAGAUGUCUAUUGUUUUAUUAGUGACACUUGUGAUUGUGUGAUUUAUUUUAUAUUGUAAAUAAAAACAGUUUUAAGUAAUCAAAUUAAUUUGAUAAACAUUUGUAGUGCAAA